GACGAACGCUGGCGGCGUGCCUAAUACAUGCAAGUUGAGCGCUGAAAGUUGGUACUUGUACCGACUGGAUGAGCAGCGAACGGGUGAGUAACGCGUGGGGAAUCUGCCUUUGAGCGGGGGACAACAUUUGGAAACGAAUGCUAAUACCGCAUAAAAACUUUAAACACAAGUUUUAAGUUUGAAAGAUGCAAUUGCAUCACUCAAAGAUGAUCCCGCGUUGUAUUAGCUAGUUGGUGAGGUAAAGGCUCACCAAGGCGAUGAUACAUAGCCGACCUGAGAGGGUGAUCGGCCACAUUGGGACUGAGACACGGCCCAAACUCCUACGGGAGGCAGCAGUAGGGAAUCUUCGGCAAUGGACGAAAGUCUGACCGAGCAACGCCGCGUGAGUGAAGAAGGUUGUCGGAUCGUAAAACUCUGUUGGUAGAGAAGAACGUUGGUGAGAGUGGAAAGCUCAUCAAGUGACGGUAACUACCCAGAAAGGGACGGCUAACUACGUG
rnacentral:rRNA from 1 species